rnacentral:snRNA from 1 species
UGACUCUGGUGUCUCCUCAUUUGCGAAUCAAUCUUUCGCCUUUUACUAAAGACUUCCGUGCGAAGGAACAAUACAAUGAGUCUUGCCUGAUUUUUUUCAGCUUUGUCUUCAGAAAGAGU